GUCUAUAUUUGUAUAUCUAAAACUGUGGGGGUUUCACAUAUAUAGAUAUUAAACUAUUUAAAAUGCACAUACAUAAAAACUAAACACAAACCUCAAACUCUAUUUCCAAACUGUUAAAAGUGGACAUUUCAGAAUUGUGGGAACUUUAUUCUUCCAUCUUUAUUUCUGAAGCUGUUUGUGAAGUGCUUGCAUUUUGACAGAACUAUAUAGUCCAAGAAAAUGAGCUUUCACUAAACUGCCUCCAACUUCAAUAUAUGCCCUGUGUCAAACUCAGAGAGAGCUUCCAACCUCUGUGGCUGGGGCCGAGUGCCAAUUACACUGCACCCAAUGGCCUAUAACUGUCUUUUUUGCUUCUGUGAAUAUCACUUUUCUAGUUAAAAUCUUCAGGACAGCUUGCAAAGUGUCUGCUACUAUUGCUCUGGAGUUAAAAGUAACCUUGAAAACAUUUCUCCAUGGUAGUAAUCGAGGUGAUUCUUCCAUCCCUUCUCAAAAAUGGCAGUAUAUCAUUCCUAUCUUUCCUCCUCAAACUCUGCCCAGCAGGCUUCUGAAGACCUUUUUAAGGUGGGUGUUAUCCUUUUUAUUUUCUUCUUAUUUGAAUAUUUCAUCUCAGACUUCACAGGGAGAUGACUAUCUCCCAAGUGCGUGAAACCAGCCAGGAGUGUUUUAUACAUUGUAAAGCAUUUGAUGAAAUCUGUACUGUGAUUAUACAUAAAUAAGUAAAGAAAAUCUUUUUUAAAUCACCUUUGUAUUGGGAUGAGUGGGUCUUUACCAAAGAGAUCAUACAAAUUAAGAGAGUUCUAAAGGUGAGAAAUUCAGGCCCUUUAAAGAGUAUUUGAAAUAAAACUGAGGAAGCAUAGACAUUAUAAGUAUUAGUUUUAUUAUUAGAGUGAAGAAAUAAUUAGAAUUAUUUCCUGAGUUAUUUAAAAGUGCUAAUAGAAGUAUUGAGCCAUAUUCUGAUCACACAGUUUUGUAAAUUGGAAACAACUUAAUGAUAUGAGUUCAUUAAAAGGGAGAUGGCAUCAACCUUGCCAUAUUCAGGCACUGUACAAAGAGAUGUAAGUAUUUCAAUAAAAGACAGACACAUAACAAAACUAUAGCUCAAGUCAAUACUGCCUUAUGGCCAGGGUAUUGCAACAGGCUGUAAAAGAAAGUAAUGAAAUCAUUAGAUACUGUGUCCUUGCAUUCUACUUUCUAUUUACAUGAUAAUAACCCGUUAUUAAUAUAAUCAUCCUUGUUAUUGUUCUAGUAUUGUGAAUUCUUGCCGUUUUCUUGUUAUUUUCCUUAAAGCCUCAGAUGAUCAGGUGAUCACCUAGCAAAUGUCCAAUUUAUUUAUUUUUUAUUUAAAUGUAAUAUCCUAGUUUUCCUAGUUGUGGAAAGAAGUUCAAAAGCACAUUUUGAGUGCAGCUCAAAUCACCUAAUUUUAUGUAACUACAUCAGAUGAGUCAAAGCACAAAAUUUAUAAAAUCCAGGCUCUGGGUGAAGCACAGAAGCUGCCCUGAAGGUCCCAGCAUUUAAAUGAAACUAACUCCGUUGUCGCCAGUGCCAGUAAUUACAAUAAGCCUGGCAUUUCUUGUUACCCUGUGAAAUUACCUGCAAGGCCUUUUCAUAUUGUCUCCAUGCUGUUGUUUUCAUGCUCAGCAGAGCAUUCAGAGUCAAUGAUGGGCAGCUCUUGUGUUUGACUGUGAAUGGUGGGGGCAUUUUGCUUUGGACUCUAUAGAAAAUCCUCAAGGUGUUUAUUGACAAAUGCUUCCUACGGGCUGCUGUAAUAGAGAAUUCUCCUCUCUGCCCGCUCCCCAGUUCCUACAAGGCCAAUCUGCUCCACAUCUAGGCAUGCUGUUGCAAAAAAAAUAUAUUUUUUUCAGUACCCUCCGUAAUGUGCCUUCAACAGGAGCUAUGGAUCAAGCGUGCUCCAGACCAAAGGCACUCAGUCCUCCAGCUCGGAGCUGUGCGCUGCCAUUUCCCCUCCAUUUGUUUCUAUGGAGCUGACUGUGUGUGCGGUCAUCCAUAAGGGUGCUGAGAUACCCUGGAGAGAGGAGGAAUAGCUGCAGCUAUUUUUCAUUAUUAUAUACUUCACUUCGUAAUAAAUGAGAUCCAUAGCAUGAGAACGCCGCUCUUGUAGAUCAUCGUAUCAGCGAGCACGAGGAACCUUGUGUGCCACAAAGCUAAAUAAAAUAAAGUGUCUUUGGGGGAUAACAGGGACCAACAAACAACUUGUGACCCAAGACGGAAAUAGCAGCAGCAGCAACUGGACUCUUCUCCAAACCUUGUGAUAGUGGAGGGUGAGGAAGGCACAGGGCAGAGGGACUGGAGGGCUGGACCAGCAGAGGUUGGAUGGUGGCUGCUGCAACAGGCUGUGCUCCAGCCAAGCCCAGCUCAUCAGGUCAUGUCAAAUGGAGCUAAUAUAAAUGUCAGCGUGCUGCUUUCAGUGGUGAAAUCUGUGUUUGUUGUACUGCAGUUCAUUUUCAGUCUUCCAGCUCUAUGGAUGCUAUCAGCUGACAUGUCUGGCUGGUAUCCUCUGCCAAAAAUACACAUACUCUCAACAUUUCUCAGGAGUUGGGUUUUUCACCCCCUCCCUGUGACAUGCUGAUGUCAAAUUUCUUCCUGGCUCUGUGAUACACAAGACUGUCCACACCUAGCAGAUAAUGAGUUUAACAUUUCAAGGACAGAAGCUCUCAGUCUCAGUGAGACACAGGGUGGAUGUGCAGGCCUGAUUCGGGGCAGGUGCCAAAGGUGGCAGGGCUCUUUUAAGCUUUUUUGGCAUGUUCUUUCUUAAGACAAUCCAACCCAACAGAAACAGAUGUGUAGAGCUCAGAGUACCAUUGGUAUUCUAGUCACAGUUAAAUACUUUGUUGUUGCUAACAGUAGCUUAAAUUCUUCUCCCAUUUUUCCUUGCUUUUAGAAUAAAUUCUGUUCUUCUGAACACCCAGAUCUCAGCCUUCUAUUUAUGCUGCUCUGGUUGACGCCAGGCUCUUCAUCAUCUCCCCACCCUACAAUUUUUUGUUGGCUUCACAAAUAAACAUUCUUACUCUCUUCCAUUCUGCUCCCCCACCUUUCUCUUGGCAACCUUAUCUGCAUAUCCAAACUGAAGCAUCCAUGCUCUGACAAUGACUCACAAGUCUACUCUGGACUUGUUUCUUUUUGUCCAAAACUGAAACUUCUUGCAGUGCCCUUGACUUUUACUCACUUGUGGUGAACUGUCCUCUUAAGCUGACCAUGAAUUUCCAGUUUCCUCCCUACAAAAUCCAGGCACUUUGCCUCUAUCCCUUUUUUUUUUCUACUAUGACCUGGGACUCAUAUUUGUUACUAAGGCUCCAAAUGUAAGGAAUUUUUCAAAUGGCUCACCUCCCUCUAAUUUAUUUCCUACAGAAUGUGUCUAUGUCUUUCUGAGUUUCAGUUAUACCAAACAGAAAAGAUGCUGAAUUCACUGCUGCUCCACACAAAUGAAACACUUGCAGAGGUUUGGAAUUACUUGGAUUUUAUCUGUGGAAACAUUCUUUAUUUUUCUGGACAAAUUGAACCACAUGUAUGUUUUUCCAAAUGACUCUGGAAAUGUAAUUUCUCCAGCUUAUCGGUCUGACCAAUGCAUUGCUGUUUUGGUUUCCUUCUUGGAAGGAAGAUAUUUCUCCAUGGGAGUCCUUCUGUUUCAACAAAUGCAAGUUAAUCCUUACUUUGAAGACACUCUUCUGCCUCACUCUUUAACUUGGUUUGAUGAGACACUGCUGGUCACAGUCAGGAGAAAGGCAGCCAAGGAGCCAGGAUCCUGUCCACCCUCCCAGGCUGGCUAGCUAGGACAAACACAGUGUCUCCUCAUGACAGAAAGAAGUCUUCUUCUCUUCCCUGGAUGCAGCUGCAUUUUAUGUUGGUGCAUGUUCUCCUGAUAUUUCUCCUGUUCUUUUCCCAGUUCCUCUUCCCUUGGUUUAGUCUGAGCAUUUCCUGGGACAAGAGCAAGAUUUUUCAUUCCAACAGCACCAAGCACAACAGCUCCCAAACCUCCCUAACCUGUGAGAUGCCUCAUGCAAUGCUGUAGGUUCUGUGUUCGACACCUUCCUGAGAAAAACAGGAUUUCUGCAUGGAAGGAGGAUGAGUACUCAGACACACACCUGAAUUCUGCAGCAGCAGGAGCUUCUGGGCACAUUAGUCUAGAUUUAGACCUUGAUUUAUCCCAAGGAGGAGAUGCCCAGGAAAUUCUUCCUAGACCCUCCUGAUAUUUGUGGCUUUUCAGAGCUAAGGAGAAGUGAAUGUGUCUUUAUGGGCCAAAAGUCAGUCUCUACCCUGCAAAAAUACAGGCAUUUCCUUGUGAUUCAACAUUCAGGACUGGUCAGUGUAAAGCAAAUAAAUGACACUCAUGGAUGCUGGAUCGUGUGUCACCUUGUCUGAUGUGCCUCCAGAUUUGUUGAGAAUGUCACCAUGAAUGUCCGUUCAAACAAACUGGAUAAGAAAGAGUGUCACAGUGCAGGACAACCUAGAAGAUGACAGGUAUUUCCAGGCAUAGCAAUGAUGAGAUCAAAUUCCCCUCAACCUGCCUUGUUUGCUGAUCUUUUAAUCAGAUUCAACUUCACUGCAGCUACAGCACAAGGUUCCCUGACAAUGUAUGACAGCAUGUGACAGAAAAAUAUUUUGAUUUUUUUUUCUUUUUUGGUCAUUUGAUGCUAUUUGAGAUAAAUCUGGAGCCCCAGCAGCAUCUGAUAAAUCUUCCAAACUACUUUAGUGGUGGUUUUUAACUAUUCAUAAUUGAACUGGAGGGUCUGGGGUUUGUGUUCGUGUGUUUGUAGUGGAAUCCAAACAGGAAAGCUGGGAAAUGAUCUAAACCCUUUGAGGUUAACCUGCCAUGAAAUAGCAUCAAUGACAGAAGAGGACAUUAUUAAAAAGGAGCCAACCUCGCUCAAAAAGAACCACUUUAUGAAGCCAGAGCCCAAAGAACAGCACCCAGGGCUGUUUGUGGUCCCACAGGGAUAGGUAUUUCAUUCCCCAUCUUCAUCUCUCCAAAUUUCCUCUCAACGGCUUCUGAGCUGAAUUCUUCAGAAAGAAAAACCAGCAAAUUUUGAAUGGGACUUAUCAGCCUUUUCCCUACAAUCUGCUUCGUAUUCCUCUCACACCCAUGUUCUUGCAGUGUCUUGGGAAAUGCUUGGAUCACAGAUAACAGAGAACAAGGAAAGGAAUGAAGCAAGAAACAAACAACAAAACAAACCCAGCACCCCCAAACUUUUUGAUGAAACUCCUCUGUGAAUCAUGUGUAUGGUUACAGCAAAGUUAAAACUGCCUUCUUCUUCACCAGUACUUAAUUCCUGCUUUUAAAAUCAGGCUCCCUUUGAUCUUGAGGGUUGAAAUGAUCUGGAAAUGAAACAGCCAGUGCUUUGCAGAAAAUCUGGAGAGGGUCCCAGACAUGGCUUUUACCUGGAAGGCUUCCAAAACAGGAUGAAAUCUCUCUGGUUUCAGAACAAAUUGCAAGAUUUUUUUCUCUAUGUCUAGUCCAACUGUGGAACUCUAGCCCUGAUGUCUGUUGCUUCCCAAAGCACAGAUGUAAUAACCUCUGAGGUGAAACGAGAACAUUAUUCCCCCAUCUUCUCCCCUCUGAGGGCUGAGGGCUGAGAGAAUUUUAUUAAAGCAAAGGCUUAAAGUUUUGGGCAGACUUAAUUUGAGGAGACAGUUGGUUAUAACCCAGGCUAGGGCCAUCUAUGUGAAGGCUGGAGAGGACAGAGCACCAAGAGCAUCUGUGACAUCUGGAUCCUGUUGAAAGCUCGGAAAUAUCUGCCUGGCUUCACGUGACCUGGCCCCAGAGCCAAAAGGGCUGAGAAAUGUGGUUGAGACUGCAGCAAGCUCUGUCCUAGCAAAUGAGUCCCACUGAGAAAGCAAAGACAUCAAUAUUUCUUUGAGUCUGUUUCUUUUAGUGAAUAUAUUUCCAUAUGUUGCAUUAAUAUUUCUUUUAUUGGGGCUUGUAAGUCCAUCUGGUAUUUGUAUUGGGAGGGCUUGAGCUGGCAGAUCCCUGUGCUGCUGUUACACACAGAUCUGGAGAGCCCUUGCAAGGGUAGGUGGUUGGAUAGGGACAACAUCUCCUCAGCUGCCUUUUAAUUGGAUGAACUCCUCAAAUCAAUCAAGAUAACCUGGUUACUUAUGUCAAUUAGCUCCUACUGUGCCAAUGGUACAAUGUAAGUAUGGGCUGAGUAUAAGGUAUAGCAGCUCGCAGUAAAGAAAGCUCUCUGUUUCAGUGUAACAACCCUGAUCUAGGUGGUGGAAAGGAGGAAAGAUACCUGGGUAACAAUAUUAAACAAAAAAAGUGCUGAAGCACCACAGUUUGCCAAGACAAUAAGAAUCACUUUCCUUCGCAUGCAUUAUUAAGGAAUUGGGGAAUAAUUAUCUGCUUUAAUACAAGCUUUUUCCUUCUGCAUGAUUAACUCCAGCGCUAUCAACAGAGAGUGUGACGACUCUGAAAUGACAGCUCCUGGUAGCACGUUCUGGGAUUAGCAAAAACAGGUUGUCACUUUAGCCCAGCCGGAUCAGGCAGUGUCUGUGUGCCGAGGGCUGGACAGCAGAGCCACGUUCUGCACCAGACAUCUGACAGCCCAAGUGGGCAGCAGGUCCUGCCUCCUGCCAGGUGGCUCCCAGGUGGGGCAUGCAGGGCUCUGCUCCUGCAGGAGAUUGGAUUUCCACCGUGUGAUUUUGGCUGUGCAGCUUCCACACUGAAUGCUCCUCGUGCUAAGCUGUGACUCGCUCUGUUCUCUGCACUGAGCUGAUUUUAAAAGAGUGUGUACUUCUGAAAUGCCUGCCUCUAAUGCCAGUCCUGUGUCUGGCUGCUCAGUGUGCAGAGUGACAGCGCACGCACCAGCCCCUGGAGGGGAUGGAGAGAGAGGUAGGACAAACACGCCAGAGCUCUGAGCAAUGGCAUGAAAUGACAACAAAAAAAUCAUUUCGUUCUUACUAAAGUUGUAAAAAGUCUGUCGUGGCUUCUGUAGAAAUUAAUCAAUAUAUGAAAAAAACGCAUAAUAACUAUGGGGGCAGCAAGAAUCUCUCCAUAAAUUAAAAUAUUGUGAGUUUCUAGAGCUAACUGGGAAAAGCACUGAGGUUACUAGUGAGGCUCUGGAGUCAAGGCAGAGUCCAUGGAAUUGGAUCCUUCACUGGAGUCCAUAUUUUGUCAAUGUCAGGAUACAUAAGAACUGUGAAACAAAGCAAAUUGUAUGUAUGGAAGGAAACCAGAGAUUUCGUCCUGCAUCACAAUCCUUUGAAAAAUUCAUAAUAAUUAAAAGAAAAAGAUUAAAUGUCCAUAUAUUUUUAUAAGAGAAAUAGGAGGUGAAAAGAUUAAUUCUCAAAAUCUGUGAAAAUUACAGUGAUGAGUUACUGGGGUUUGCAGUGAGGGGGGUGUUUUUGUAAUUCUGUAGGCAUCUCAGUCCUCUGGUGAAAUGAUGUAUGGGGCAAUCGUCUGGUAGGGGCUGAUGGGAUGUAAAUGAAACUAAUUAAGGAAAUGUCAAACAUAAUUAAUAAAACAGGUUUAAGUUGCAAAAGCACUGUCAGCUGAAUGAAUGGGGAAGAAUGCCUCAUUCCCAUUGUUUUGGGGCUUGCUUGCUUAUUUAUAUAUUUCUUUAUUUAUUCCUUGUUCAGCCCUUCGCCCUCCCAGCAGCUUUUUCAGUUGCACCAUUCAAUUAGAUCUCAGAAAGCUCUUGGUAGGCUCCUGCAUUUUCACCUUGCCCCCCUUGCGAGCUGGGGUCCCACAGAAUAGGAGGAAUAUAAAUUUGCCUUGUCGGCUUGCAGCCUGGGAAGAAGAAGGAAAAAAAAAUUAAUUGCUAACUCCUCAUCUUCCCCAAGUACUACAGGACAUUAACAUAACCAAUUUGCUUGAACUCCUCACUGGCUGCUUAAUAGAGCAUCUGACCAGCUGAUAAGACCUGGGUGCUGCUGCCUAUGAUACCUUGUUAUUAGCAUUUUCAUAAUAUUCAAAUUUACAGCCCCAUGAUUCACUAGCCUCCAUUCAUUAUUGAUAAGUACAAAAAAUAAAUAAAAAAGGUUUAUAAAUAGCAAAGGGGGGUGAGCGACCUAUAAUUAUGGCAAGCAAAUUAGGGUGCAU